UCCUGUAUAGCAUAUUGGUAAUGUAUAUGUUUGCAAAACAUAAGAAAGCGGUUAAAAUCCGUUUACAGGCA
rfam:Hyaloperonospora arabidopsidis Emoy2 Contig716.0, whole genome shotgun sequence.